CAGUAGCCGCGGUAAUACGUAGGGUGCGAGCGUUAAUCGGAAUUACUGGGCGUAAAGCGUGCGCAGGCGGUGAUGUAAGACAGAUGUGAAAUCCCCGGGCUCAACCUGGGAACUGCAUUAGUGACUGCAUCGCUGGAGUGCGGCAGAGGGGGAUGGAAUUCCGCGUGUAGCAGUGAAAUGCGUAGAUAUGCGGAGGAACACCGAUGGCGAAGGCAAUCCCCUGGGCCUGCACUGACGCUCAUGCACGAAAGCGUGGGGAGCAAACAGGAUUAGAUACCCGUGUAGUCCCUGUCUCUUAUAC
rnacentral:rRNA from 1 species